rnacentral:rRNA from 1 species
UGAGGAAUAUUGGGCAAUGCCCGAAAGGGUGACCCAGCAACGCCGCGUGGAGGAUGAAGGUCGUAAGAUUGUAAACUCCUGUUAGAGGGGAAGAAUAACUAAGUUUGGAGCUUAGUAUGACUGUACCCUCAGAGAAAGCCCCGGCUAACUACGUGCCAGCAGCCGCGGUAAUACGUAGGGGGCAAGCGUUGUCCGGAUUUACUGGGUGUAAAGGGCGCGCAGGCGGAAUGGAAAGUCAGUGGUGAAAUCCUACAGCUUAACUGUAGAACUGCCUUUGAUACCUUCAUUCUUGAGUUCGGGAGAGAGAGACGGAAUUCCAGGUGUAGUGGUGAAAUACGUAGAUAUCUGGAAGAACACCAGUUGCGAAGGCGGUCUCUUGGUCCGAUACUGACGCUGAGGCGCGAAAGCGUGGGGAGCAAACA